rnacentral:rRNA from 1 species
GGCGAGUGAAGCGGUAACAGCUCAAAUUUGAAAUCUGGCCUCACGGUCCGAGUUGUAAUUUGUAGAGGAUGCUUCGAGCAUGGUCUGGCCUAAGUUCCUUGGAACAGGACGUCAUAGAGGGUGAGAAUCCCGUAUGCGGCCAGGUGCCUACGCUCAUGUGAAGCUCCUUCGACGAGUCGAGUUGUUUGGGAAUGCAGCUCAAAAUGGGUGGUAAAUUUCAUCUAAAGCUAAAUAUUGGCCAGAGACCGAUAGCGCACAAGUAGAGUGAUCGAAAGAUGAAAAGCACUUUGGAAAGAGAGUUAAACAGUACGUGAAAUUGUUGAAAGGGAAGCGCUUGCAACCAGACUUGCGCGCGGCCGAUCAUCCGGUGUUCUCACCGGUGCACUCGGCCGUGCUCAGGCCAGCAUCGGUUUUGGCGGCUGGAUAAAGGCCCUAGGAAUGUAGCUCCUCUCGGGGAGUGUUAUAGCCUAGGGUGCAAUGCAGCCUGCUGGGACCGAGGACCGCGCUUCGGCUAGGAUGCUGGCGUAAUGGUUGUAAGCGGCCCGUCUUGAAACACGGACCAAGGAGUCUAACAUCUAUGCGAGUGUUUGGGUGUCAAACCCAUACGCGUAAUGAAAGUGAACGGAGGUGAGAACCCUUAA